UCUCCUGGUUUUUGUUGGUUUUGGCCUAUUUUCUUUUUCUUUGUUCAUAUUUUUAUUUUUAAUUGUACUUUUUAUUUUUAUUUAUUUUCCUUUUCUUUUUUUAUGGAUCGGAAUUGACCCCAUUUUUUUCAUUUUUUUUAUAAUAUAGUAUUAACUAUUAAAAAAACUUAAAUCUCUAAAAAUUCUCAUUUUUGAUCACUUAAAAAAUUUACCUAAACUUUUGUAAUUAUAUUUUUAGAGUUUUAUUUCAAC
rnacentral:lncRNA from 1 species